rnacentral:lncRNA from 1 species
AGGAACUACCAGAAGUUUAAAAUGAUGAAGCAGUAUUGGCCAAAUGAUAGCUUUUCUUCAAAUGGCAACAGAUGGAAGAAAAGAGUUUAUAUGGCAUCUUUGUAAAAUUCUUGGUUAACAUAAUAUGGAUCAUACUUUGAUGUCAGAAAUGUAUAUCUUAGUGGUCUGGUGUGUAAGUACUCGCUUGAGCAAAGCAGAGAGAGGCUAAAACCAAUUAUGUAGAGAGUGGAAAGAAAGGAAACCUCUUUCAGCUCUCUGAGCAAAUACUAACUUAACGUGAAACAUUUCUUAAUUUACUUGUAGUUCUCCUUCUGCAUAGGACAUGAUGACCUUGUCACAAGUUUUUUAAGUUCUUAAUAGAGCUGAAUAUCGUUGAGUAGACAUCGCACAAGUUACAUUGCCUAUUUUUCAUGCCUGGUAGAGAAAACAUAGAGUUCCAAUUUCGUUUUAGUGUUCAAAAGAACACUGUGCUAUUUAAUGGGUUUUUUAAGACAUGGUUCUAACCCUACUUGUAACUAGCUUAACAACCUUGCUUAAGUAAUUUGACCUUUCUGGAGCUCAUUUUGUUCAUUUGUAAAAUGAGGAAGUUGAAUUGCAUUGGUUUACUGUGUUGUAGGCUUUUAAAAAAGGCCAUGUAUUAGGACUGAAAUGCAUUUCCUGAGUGAAGUUAUAAUUGUACUCUUGUAGCCAGGCCUUCAUGAAGUUCUAACAAGCAGGGAUUUUUGCUUGGAGAACUUGGAUUUCUUAUUCUCCACCUUGUGAUGACAGUGGUGCUCUAUGGGACUGGAUUUUCACCAUAUCCCCAUAUCUGGCUACUUGACUCUGGAGAAGUUGAGAUGAGAAAACUGCCAAGCCCAGAUGAAAUAUUUCUGUUGAGGACAGCCAAAUUGCAUACUGAGGAACCUGGCUGGUAAAAGGAAGCUAAGAUCCUCUACAGCGAAUAUAAGCAUUAUUGCUCUUGGCUCUGAUGUUGUCUGCUUUAAGAUUUAUUUGAAACUGUUUGGGGAAAAGGCUGCAAGAGAGAACUUUAUGACAGCUAGAAUUGUUUUCACUUCUAAACAAUUUCUCUGAAGCCAUAGCCAUCAGUAAAAAUACCAGUGAUUUAGACUCUCCUACAAAGUUUUUUUUUUCAAUUACCCAUUAUAACUCUUAAUGUGUUACUAUCCCCUCCGAACACCCUUUUUCUUCUAAGAAAAUAAAUGCAGGUUAUAGGAGAAUAUGGUUUAUUUUAAAAUUGGAAACUAAAUCCAUUCCUGCUUUAAAUAAUAAAUGCUUUUUUUUUUUUGUCAGCUUUACAGCAAAUCCAUUUUUAAGUCUGUAUUUUGAUCAGUUUUGACAAGCAUAUACCAUCAUGUAACCACCACAUGUCCCUGAAAAGUUCCCUCAUCUCCCUUUGUUGUUAGUUCCCUCUGCACACCCUAAGCCCCUGGCAAUGAUGAUUUCUCUCCUGCCUUUUCCAGAAAGUCUUAUCACUGGAAUGUUGAACUUUUGUGUGUGUCUGGCUUCUUUCAUUAGCAAUUCUUUUGAGAUGCAUCCCAGCUAUGGCUUAUAUUAGUAAUUCAUUCCCUUCCAUUGCUUAGUCGUAUUCCAUUGUAUAGAAUUACUGCCAUUUGUUGGCAGAAUUACUACCAUCAGGUUUCCUCCUGUUAUGGUUGAGUUUAAAGUUCCUAUAAACAUGCAACUUUCAUGCCUAGGUCUUGGUGUGUUUUCAUGUCUCUUGGGAAGAUAACUAGGAAUGGAAUUACUGAGUCAUAUAGAAAGCCUCUAUUUAUCUUUACAAGAAACUGACAGACUGUUUUCCAAAGUUGCUGUGCCAUUUUACAUUCUCACUAGCAAUGUUUAGGAGUUCUGGUUGUCCCAUGUUGAUAAGUGCUUCUUGAAAAACAAAACACAGGGAGUUCCCUUCAUGGCUCAGUGGUUAACAAACCCAACUAGGAUCCAUGAGGACAUGGGUCCGAUUCCUGGCCUUGCUCAAUGGGUUAAGGAUCCAGCAUUGCCUUGAGCUGUGGUGUAGGAUGGCAGCUGUAGUUUGGAUUUGACUCCUACCCUUGGAACUUCCAUAUGCCACAGAUGUGGCCAUGAAAAAACAAAAAACAAACCAAAACCACAGAUACCAAAAAUUACUCAAAACAUAUUUGGGUAAAUUAAUUAUUUUAAGGUGAAUACUCUUAUAACCAAUACCAAGUCAAGAAAGAAAACUCUACCAGCCCUCCAGGUACUUUUUCCCAUCUCAGCCUUCAUCUUCCCCCAGUAAGUAACUAUUAUCUUGAUUUUUUACCAGUAACUUCCCUGUGUUUUUAAUAGUUUUUUUUUUCCUUUAAUGUGUACCCCCAGACAUUUUAAUCCUUUCUGUUUGUUAUAAAACUGAUUAUAUCCUUUAGGUUUCUUUUAACCAAUAGGUUAUCCUCCAUCUCUUGCUUUUUCCUCAAAUUUACUAAUAUACCUAUAAUAUUUGACCUAUAGAGUUUCUCACAGUGUAAAUUUGUUUAUUACUGUUUUUGAGGUAGUUCAGUGGGCCCCACUGACCUCCAUAUUUUCUGCGAAACAUUGCUCUUAAAGAUCUAAAUAAAGAUUUAAAGGUUUUUGUUGCCUAUCCAAGGGGCAGAGAAUGCUUCUAAUAUUCCCAUAUAUCUUUAUUUAAUUUUUUUUUCUUUUCUCCACAGCAUAUGGAAGUUCCCGGGCUAGAGGUAGAAAUGGAGCUGCAGCUGGGGCCUAGACCACAGCCAUCGCAAUGCCAUUUCUGAGCUUCAUCUGUGACCUACGCAGUAGCUUGUGACACUGCCAGAUCCUUAACUCACUGAGCAAGGCCAGGGAUCGAACUUGCAUCCUCAUGGACACUGUGUGGGGUUCUUAACCUGCUGAGCAACAUUAGGAACUCCCUCAUAUAUCUUUUAUACUCCUACCAAUGACCAUGGUGCCCAUUCAAACAAUUUUUGUUUUGAAUUAGGUUGAAAAAUGAAUGAAUGAAUACAAGAAUGACUGAGUACCUUCACUGAAGCAAAAGGUAUAGCCAGCCUUGUGCUCCGUCUUAGGUUAAACAUAUAGAAGAAUUUUAAAGAUAGCGUGUUCAUGCUAGAAAUUUACUUUCAGGAGAGGCUUUAGAAUGGUUAUUCCUGGGGAUCUUUAAAAUUUUGAUCAUGGUCAUCAUUCUUAGAGUUAUAAACCCAUGACGGCCUGGGAGGAUGAGGAACUGAUUUCUCAUUCCUGGGUUUCUCUGAUAGAGUGCCCACCUAUAAAAGAUGAGUUGUUUGUUUCAGAAUAUUCUUUGCAGAAUUCCUGUCUGCAGGGCACUAAAUGGAAUUUGGUGCAUUGAAAGUUUGCUUCCCAUAGGGUAAAAUUUACUUUCGGAGAGUGUUUUAUGACCCUCAGAUAACAUUUAUACCAGUCUGUCUAGGGUAGCGUAUGGGACAAAUGCAAAGGCAGCAGUCUUAGUAAUGAGGAUUGUUGUUCCGAUUACCUUUUUGGUCCAUAGGCAGUGCACUUAAUGAAUGGCAUUCCCGGAGAGUAUAUCUCUGCGUGCUGCUGGCAAACACUUGGAACCGUUCUUUGAGAUCCUUUGUUUAAUUUGUGAAAAAUAAUUCAGUGAAGAUGGUUCUUGUUUAUAAAUGUCUACAUCUGUUGCUAACAAACAGCCUCAAGCUUUAAGAACGCUUCCAGAGAAUAAAGUAGGGAAUUAGCUAUGCGGCAGCUAUGGGGUUCUGACAAAAGAAAUGUGAUGUAGUUUUCAUUAACGUGUGUUUCAGAAUUCUUGCCAUAUUUCUCCUGAUCAAAGUUUUUUUCACCUGUUGUUUGGAGGAGUAGCAAGUGACAGGAUGCAUCCGCUCAGAGCACUGAGUUUCAUUUUGUGUAAUUUCUAUAAUAUUUCUAGCCAUUAGUUUUUUUAGUAAGCAUUUUAAUUAAUAUUGAUAUCGACAUGGACACAAAAAUGAUGACAUUUUACAGUUUUAUUUUUCACUGUUUCUAAGAGCAUUCCCUACAUUCUUUCAUUCAAUUCUCAUUAUAACCUUAUGCGUGGUAGGCAGGACAUGCUGCAGUGUCAUAAUUUAAAUAAACACAGUAUUGCAACUUCAAAAAGGAAGUAACUUGUUCUGGUCACAUCACCAUGAAUACCAACCUAGAUCCUAGAUCCUUUUGACUUUUGGGUGAAUACUUUUUCUAUUCCCACAUUCAUUCAUUUUGUAGUUUAGGAUUCAUGAUAGAAAAUGAAGAUUUCCAAUGAUAUCAGAAGCAACUUUACUUCAUACCAAUCUCAGCCUACAUUAUAAAUUCAUACUUUCUGCCACAGAUGGUGUUUCUUAAACUUGAUCAUCAUCCCCUGACUGAGACUGUACCCAAGAGAAACAUGGGCCAGGGGAGAAAUGAAAUUAUAUCAACUUAAACAGAAAACUUUGGUAUCUAUCAUUUUCUUGUUUCAGAAUUCAUAAGGAAAGUUCAAUGGUUGUAUCUUUAGUGCCUCUUUUAUGGUCUGUAUUGUCAAGUUGGCCAGGUGGAUAUUUUUGUACCGCACUAUCAAAUUAGCUAGGUUGAUGAUAAAGUUCGUAUCUCUAAACAUCCAGGUUACCAUCAAAUGACAAUCACAUUUAUGACAUGGACUGCAUAAUCAUUGAAUUUAGCUAAGAUGACCCAAAUGUUGCCUCUGCAGUUGGUUUGAACAAUAUGCAUUUAGCUAACAAAGCCUAGUUCCAGGUUCACUUUCUUCUUGAUAACCUUUGAUAACAUUCUGCCUUCCUCACUGUACUGUUACACAGACUUUAAUUAUAUAAUUAUAAUAUUUUUCAUGCUAGCAUUUUCAGACCUUAAUUAUGAUGUAUUCCUCUCAGUAGACUGUAAAUUUCUUCUGGUUCUAGAUUGAUAUAUAGUAGAUGCUCAGUGAAUGUUCUAGCAGAUGAAUAAAGAGGUAUUUCUAAUGGACCAUGUUGCUGCUUCAAGCGACUGUCUACUGACCACUCACUGUGGUUGAUAUUUGACCAUGCUGGUGCCAAAUCAUAUUUACCUAAAUAAUUUUUACAUAUCUCAUUAAAUUUAAUUUUAUUUAAACAUUUUUCUGUCCAGACAGUAUUUUUGCAUUAAAAGUAGGAUUUUUCCAUCACUAUUGAAUCAAAGUGAUUUUUUUUUUUAAUGACAAACUUAGUUUGACUCUGUGCUAAGCAAGGUGAUAGGGAUAGGGCACAAACUGAGUCAGUUAUGUCUCCUGCCUCUCAGUAUCUUAUGGUAAAGAUACAGUCGCAUUUGGGGGACAAAAUUUAGAUCAAUUCAAAUCUUUGUCGCAAGAAAGAGAGAGAAAAAUGACCUUUAAAAACUGUGCUAGCCAGAAAGGGAUUCAUUUGAAAUGAGUAUUGAAGCGUGUGUUGGGAAGAAUGAUUUAAUACUGAAGAAAGACAUUUUAGGUAAAGAGAAUAGAAGACAAAGAUGCGCCUGAAGCAGUGAGAUUCCCCGAGGGAUUUCAGAAGCAGCUGGUAGUCCGGUGUGGCUGGGAUUUAGUUCCUCUAAGGCCCUUAUUUAAUUACACUAAUGCUUUCAGCAUCUCCCUGCGUCUUGGGUAGUGGAAGAUUGCCUGGCCUACCUUUACAGUGUUGAUCUUGGGAACAUCCUAAUCACGCAAGUCAAUCUUACUUUGAACCCUUUCCCUGAAGCCCAGCGGUCACCUUUGGUGUCAGCAACACUUUAAGAAUUGAUUUCCAUUCCCUUAGCAAUUCGCAUUAUUGUCAAGAGAGUCCCCAGUGAAAUAGUAAUAUAUUUCUCAUAUUUCCAAUAUGCAUGACACACAUAACACUUAUAAGUCUAUUGCCUUUUCAGAAACAAUCAUCAAAGUGCAAGAUAUGUUAUCAGGAAAAUACCCUACAGGACUUUGUAAUAGAUGCCAAUGGCUUCAAGAUUCUGCAGACCCAGACUUUCUGAACAGUCCCUCUUGAGUAAAGAAUUAAGGAGUAGAGUAGUGAAGUUGUAGGGCCUGCCUCAAUGUACCUAAAGCCCAGUUUGGGAAAGGCCAGGAGCUGGAAGGUUACAAUGUUGGUGAGAACAUCCAUCAUUUAAGAAGAAACCUGGAGAGACAAGAGGACUGAGUAAAUUCACAAGGAGAAAACUCUUAGAUAUGAACAGCAGCAAAGCUGCAAACCUGAAACUUCUAUGAUGAUCCUUUAAACAGAAGAUACCUGAGAUUCAUAUGUUGAACUCAUUGACUUUUUAAGGAGAACUAACCAUGGGCCAGAUACUAUUCCAGGUGCCAGAGGUAUGCCAGUGAAAUAAAACUGAAAAAUGUUUCUUCCUCAUGAAGGUAACAUAAUGCUACAUGUGAUUUUAUUCUCAAAACAACCCUCCAUGGAAAUAUUCCUAUUACCUCUCUUUUAUAGAUGAGGAAAUUGAGGCUCAUACAGGUUGAAUAACAUGACCAUCAUCACACAGCCUGAAUGUAUUAUAACUGGGAUUUGAUCUCAGAUAGCCUGGCUCUUGGCCAUUACUCUAUACAAUGUCCUGUUUCUAUUACCUACAAAAGAACAAGUGAGCUAAUAUUUCUUAUUAACCUUGGACCAGUAACUUUGGGGAGAGCUUUAAACAUGUCAUCUCAUUGUUUACUUUCCUGCAAAGAAGUAUUGGGAUCCAUAUUUUAUAUAUAAUAAAAAUAAAGCCCAGAGAAGUUAUGUAAUUUACAAAAGGUCACACAGCCACUAAAAAGCUGAGCCAGGAUUCCACUCAGGUCUCUCUGUCCCUUAAGAUAUAUUUUCUUGGAGUUCCCGUCGUGGCUCAGUGGUUAAUGAAUCCGACUAGGAACCGUGAGGCUGUGGGUUCGAUCCCUUGCCUCGAUCAGUGGGUUAAGGAUCUCACGUUGCCAUGAGCUGUGGUGUAGGUUGCAUAUGUGGCUCGGACCGCGUGUUGCUGUGGCUCUGGCAUAGGCCAGCAGCUACAGCUCCGAUUAGACCCCUAGCCUCGGAACCUCCAUAUGAUGCGAGAGCGGCCCUAGAAAAUGCAAAAAGACCAAAAAAAAAAAAAAAA